rnacentral:rRNA from 1 species
UACGUAGGGAGCAAGCGUUGUCCGGAAUCAUUGGGCGUAAAGCGCGCGUAGGCGGCCCCGUAAGUCCGCUGUGAAAGUCAAAGGCUCAACCUUUGAAAGCCGGUGGAUACUGUGGGGCUAGAGUCCGGAAGAGGCGAGUGGAAUUCCUGGUGUAGCAGUGAAAUGCGUAGAUAUCAGGAGGAAUACCGAUGGCGAAGGCAGGUCUCUGGGCUGACACUGACGCUCAUGCACGAAAGCGUGGGGAGCGAACAG